CAAAAGUCCAUGUGGGACCUGUCAAGUUCGGCAGCCCCCGGGAGGACUGCUGCCUUCCUUCAAAAAGCCUGUUUUUCCCUGGCUUACCCACCCUGCCUCGGAGGAGAGUGGCUUCCCUGGAGAUGGAGCAGUUGGAGCGGGAAGAGGAGCCCCGCCGUGCUAGGACUGAGCUGAGCAGGAUGUGUGGAUGCAGGAUGUGUGCAAACCAGGGCAGCCCCGUGGGGAAGGGCCCCCGUGGCACAGGACGCUUUGGCCACUGAGGUGCCACAUCUCCCAGGGUGUCCCCUCCAUGCUGCCUGAGGAUGUGUUCCCAAUAUGUCAUGGGGGGCUGCCCCCCGGGGCACCCUGCCCUCUGCCCCUGCUCAGGGUGUCGCACUGUGCCAGCAGCUGAGCUCAACACUUUUGACUCUAUUUAUUACUAAAAAAUUAUGCAACUGG